UCCAAUGAGAUGUUUUUUUUGGAAGUGGU
rnacentral:sRNA from 1 species